GACGAACGCUGGCGGCGUGCUUAACACAUGCAAGUCGAACGGAAAGGCCCUGCUUUUGUGGGGUGCUCGAGUGGCGAACGGGUGAAUAACACGUGAGUAACCUGCCCUUGACUUUGGGAUAACUUCAGGAAACUGGGGCUAAUACCGGAUAGGAGCUCCUGCUGCAUGUUGGGGGUUGGAAAGUUUGGGCGGUUGGGGAUGGACUCGCGGCUUAUCAGCUUGUUGGUGGGGUAGUGGCUUACCAAGGGUUUGACGGGUAGCCGGCCUGAGAGGGUGACCGGCCACAUUGGGACUGAGAUACGGCCCAGACUCCUACGGGAGGCAGCAGUGGGGAAUAUUGCACAAUGGGCGGAAGCCUGAUGCAGCAACGCCGCGUGCGGGAUGACGGCCUUCGGGUUGUAAACCGCUUUCGCCUGUGACGAAGCGUGAGUGACGGUAAUGGGUUAAGAAGCACCGGCUAACUACGUG
rnacentral:rRNA from 1 species